CUUUCAGUUUCACUCCAACAUGCAGGAGAAAAGGAGCAAUUGACAUGACAAGAACUGAGAUGGGGCAGUUCUGAUACAACUGACAAAGAAUUAGCAGUACAGAGCAUGAGACCCUGCAUAAAGACAAAUGGGAGAAGCCGUAGCGCAAGGUGUCAGCAGGUUUCGUCUCUUCUGAGGCCUCUCUCCUUGGCUUGCAGAUGGCCUCCUUCUCGCUGUGUCCUCACGUGGCCUUUUUUCUCCAUGUGCGUGCAUCCGUCGUGUCUCUCUUAUUCUUGGAAGAAAAACAUGUGCCUUCUGCUAACUAUCUGGUGUGUCCAGUUCUGAAUGUCAAGACCAAGUCCUGAAAAUGGGUACUGGGGAUGACUUAAGAGUAUUUGUCAAGCACCUUGUAUGUGUCAAGCUGAUGAUAGGCAUUGAUGCUACACAGGUGGUUAUAACCUGGUCCAGCAAAAUCUCUUGCUAUCUGGUAGGGACCAGGCAAAUACAAAUGGAUGAGUUAAAGUACUGCAUAAUAGAUACCUCAUUGGAACUAUGAACCAAUGACUCCAGAGAAAGAGCCACACCUGACUGCCUGUCAUCUUCUGACAGAGGAUGUCAUGUUGUAUGUGGUGUGAUCAUCUACCAAGAUCCUAGGACAAAUUAUAUGGCUCAUUGACCUGCACGGGUACCUGGAACUUCAGCUCAAACAUUUACGAUAACCAAGCAUCCAAAAGCUAUGAAAACACAGAACUGGCAGCCAAUCCAUUAAAUCACUCAAACAUCUAUUAACUAGCAAUUGUAUAAAAUUUGCUGGAUUUGAGCACUGUAAGGGUAUAGAAGGGCAAAUGAAGAUCAAUAACGGGAGAGGAAAGAGAAGAGUAAAACAGUUUGUAUCUGUUGAUGACCAGGCAUCAUGUUAAGUAUUUCAUAUAUAUUAUUUAAUUCUGAAAGGAUCUUUUUGUAAGUUAAGUUAAUUCUGAAAGGAUCUUUUUGUAAGUUAAGAAGCUGAGGUGACAUGAGUUGCUCAAGUUCACACAGACAGCAAGGGGUGAGCCAUUGCAAUGCAAAGCCCAUGUCCAAUUCCUCACUCCUUGCUACUCUAGCAAGGGUUCUGGGGGUAAGUUUUGUAAGGAGAGAAAGAGAAGAGAGAAAAUCCUUGACAGUAAGUGAAGCAAAAGCCUGGAUAUCUGAAUGGGAGGAGACACCGUUGCAGAGCCCAUCCGUCCUGAUUUUCCCAGAGGCACGGGAGCAGAGCACGUCCCCACUGCACCUAAGCACGCGGAAAGAUGCCCACAGAUUGCUGCAUUUGUAUUUUUACUGAGCCAGCAUUGAGGAAUUCCACAGACACAUAUGUUGUGUACAUACAUGGGCUAUCACUUUUUAGGUGGAUGUACGUGUUAGGAUUAUCGAAAUAAGCAUCCAUUUAAAAGAAUGAUUUGAAUUUGUACCUUUCUGUCAUCA
rnacentral:lncRNA from 1 species